rnacentral:rRNA from 1 species
CCUACGGGUGGCAGCAGUGAGGAAUAUUGGUCAAUGGGCGCGAGCCUGAACCAGCCAAGUAGCGUGAAGGAUGACUGCCCUACGGGUUGUAAACUUCUUUUAUCAAGGAAUAAAGUGAGGCACGUGUGCCUUUUUGUAUGUACUUUAUGAAUAAGAAUCGGCUAACUCCGUGCCAGCAGCCGCGGUAAUACGGAGGAUCCGAGCGUUAUCCGGUUUUAUUGGGUUUAAAGGGAGCGUAGAUGGGUUGUUAAGUCAGUUGUGAAAGUUUGCGGCUCAAGCGUAAAAUUGCAAUUGAUACUGGCAGCCUUGAGUGCAGUUGAGGUAGGCGGAAUGCGUGGUGUAGCGGUGAAAUGCUUAGAUAUCACGAAGAACUCCGAUUGCGAAGGCAGCUUACUAAACUGCCACUGACAUUGAUGCUCGAAAGUGUGGGUAUCAAACAGGAUUAGAUACCCGAGUAGUC